AUUGAACGCUGGCGGCAGGCCUAACACAUGCAAGUCGAACGAGUGGCGGACGGGUGAGUAAUGUCUGGGAAACUGCCUGAUGGAGGGGUCUCACUAAUAGACACGGUAGCUAAUACCGCAUACCAUCGGAUGUGCCCAGAUGGGAUUAGCUAGUAGGUGGGGUACAGGCUCACCAAGGCUACGAUCCCGAGCUGGUCUGAGAGGAGGAGCAGCCAACCGUGAACUGAGCCACGGUCCAGACUCCGACGGGAGGCAGCAGUGGGGAAUAUUGCACAAGGGGCGCAAGCCUGAUGCAGCCAUGCCGCGUGUAUGAAGAAGGCCUUCGGGUUGUAAAGUACUUUCAGCGGGGAGGCGUUACCCGCAGAAGAAGCACCGGCUAACUCCGUGCCAGCCGCCGCGGUAAUUC
rnacentral:rRNA from 1 species